UACGUAGGGGGCAAGCGUUGUCCGGAAUCAUUGGGCGUAAAGAGCGUGUAGGCGGCCCGGUAAGUCCGCUGUGAAAGUCCAGGGCUCAACCCUGGUAUGCCGGUGGAUACUGUCGGGCUCGAGUCCGGAAGAGGAGUGUGGAAUUCCUGGUGUAGCGGUGAAAUGCGCAGAUAUCAGGAGGAACACCAAUGGCGAAGGCAGCACUCUGGGACGUGACUGACGCUGAGACGCGAAAGCGUGGGGAGCAAACAGG
rnacentral:rRNA from 1 species